UGCCUGGUGGUCGAGUGGUUAAGACUUUGCACUCCCAAUGCUGGGGGCCUGGGUUCAAUCCCUGGUCAGGGAA
rnacentral:tRNA from 1 species